rnacentral:rRNA from 1 species
GACUCGGUUGGGCGGUCCGCUUAACGGCGUGUACUGUCUGACUGGGCCUUACCUCUUGGUGAGCCAGUGUGCCCUUUAUUGGUGUGCAUUGGGGAACCAGGACUUUUACCUUGAAAAAAUUAGAGUGUUCAAAGCAGGCACAACCUGGCAUCAUGAAUACAUUAGCAUGGGAUAAUAGAA